UACGUAGGGUGCAAGCGUUGUCCGGAAUUAUUGGGCGUAAAGAGCUCGUAGGCGGUCUGUCGCGUCUGCUGUGAAAACUCAGGGCUUAACCCUGAGCUUGCAGUGGGUACGGGCAGACUAGAGUGCGGUAGGGGAGACUGGAGUUCCUGGUGUAGCGGUGAAAUGCGCAGAUAUCAGGAGGAACACCGGUGGCGAAGGCGGGGUCUCUGGGCCGUAACUGACGCUGGAGGAGCGAAAGCAUUGGGGAGCGAACAGG
rnacentral:rRNA from 1 species